CUUACCAUUUUCUUUUUCUCACUUCAUUCACUUUUCAUUCUUGUCACUCUGCUUGCUUUAAUGAAGGAAGUGACGGCUGUGAUUUGGCACCUGAUGAAGCUAGAGCAUACAGUUGAGAGUCCUUUCUCACCCCCACACGAUCAGUUCCACCUGCCCGAAAUCUUAGGGGCAUCCACACUCCAUUACUGACGUUGAGUAAUGAGGACCACCAGCCCAUUCGUAGGUUUCUCCAGUUGCCCGCCUCAUUGUCGGGCAUACUAGCAGACAUCCUUGCUGCUUUUCAAGUCCUGCCCUGGUACGGUCUCACGUUUGCCGACUGGAUCAUCACUUCCGCCCGCCACAUGGCCAACCUUCGUGGAGCCAUCAAUUGAGGGGCGUCCCAGUAUGCAAUCUCACGGCUCCUUGAAUGUGUGAAAGAAGGCCGUCAAAACCUGGCGAGCCCCGAUCUUGAUUCCUGCCCGAUCUGCCUGGAUGCCAUGGCUGGCUGCAACCUCCAACGUCUGUUGGAGAUGCCUUGCAAGCAUGUCCUCCACAGCCCGUGCAUCGUUCGAUGGUUGGAACCGAGCAACUCUUGCCCGCUCUGCCACUUCAGACGGGAGGAUAACAACAUAUGAUCGAUCACCCUCUUAGUUCUAGAACAUCAUCAAUCCAUCGUGACUGUUUGAGUGAAUGGCAGUCUUCUUCUUUUUUUCCCUUUAUUGGAUUGGAAUUCAUGCUGCAAAGUCAAUUCUCAUUAAAUGAAUGGACAUCUUUACUUUCGAUCUUUUCAUAUUAAUUGGAAGCCGCACAUUCCGUGAUAAAAGAUAUUACGUUUUCCUCGACUCCUCCCGUGCGUCUCCAUGUUUUCCAUAGCUGCCUGCGCCUUUCAGUUCACUGCAGGUUCCUCUGAGAUGCAGAAGACGGUUUGCCUUCAGUCGCCAUCCCUCUGAUCUUAAUUAGUUUGCCAUCAAUUCGGCUCCACCACAGCCACAGGUUAUGGACAUGACAUGGUUAUUGGUUGCCCGAAGUCUUUAGCGUAUUUGGAAUUCUACCUGUAAGACAUUGUAAGAGAUGAACGCUUUACCAUCCUUUCCUUUCCUAAUUUUCCCUUUUCUCCCUGAUCUUAUUUAUUCUUUGCUACUCUUAUUUGCUGAGCAUUAUUAUCAAUGGAUGGAUAAUAAACAGAAUCGAUGAUUUAGAACA